rnacentral:lncRNA from 1 species
GGGAAGGAUCCCACUUUCAGAUUGGCUAGAUCUGCGACUGACUGGGUGAAAAAGACACACGUCUUGCCAGCUGAAGGGGUUUUGCGGAGAGCUGUGACUUCCUCGGUGCCAGCACAGGCAGGUAAGAGGGUACCAGCAAACCAGAGCGUCCCCAUUAGAAAGGGGACUCUGGCUUUCCAUGAGCAGGAGGUGACCAAGCUUGUGGAAGCACGUGGGAGAUCGCUGGCAGGCGCUGGUUUCUGAACGGGCUCCUGAGCAACAGCUUACGUCCCAAAAGUGCUCUGCUCGUCAGCGGCACGAAUUAGUUUGCGCAGGGUGGCACAGGCCGGCAAAAGCUGUAUGUGCAGCCUGCUUGCUGCUGAGCUUGAUACGGAGAAGAAGGAGCUCCGAGUUGAGCGGUGAGCUUUGGAUGCGGCUACAAGCAGAGUGUGGGUGAUCUUGGUGUCCGUGUGCAUCAGUGAAUGCUCUCUAACCUCUCUCUUCUCCAGCAGCAUCCUCUGCCCUUGGAUCUGCUAGUUGAAAUCCAGAGCAAGCCACAGGCAGCUGCCACAUCACACGACUGUCUCUUGCAGUAAAGUGUUUCUUUUUUUUUUUUUUUUUCCUGAAUGUUUUGCUUUCUCAGCGCAACCUUGGAUAGGGUAGAUUUUUAAAAUACUGGAUUCUGGGACUUUCCCAAAAUAGUAAGGUUUCUGCAUUGCAUGCAGUUGUGGCAAUCCCUGCUGUGUGUGUUGAGCAGAUCUGCAGCAGCGAAACACUGAGGCCCGG